GGGAGUCCGGCAACCUGAGCGACAUUGCUGCAAUGUGCAAUAUUAUGUGGAAUAAGGAUGUAUUCCUCAGGUAUGCCAGCUCCUUCCCCAAAAUGAGUGAGGCCAUGAGGCAGCUGGAGGCUCUGUCAGACGAGUGUGUUGUGGGAUUUGCUGCACAUAAGCAUUGUACCCAUAAGGACAGGGAGAGGAGGAGCUAUUCAGAAGCUCUGUCGGUGCACCGAGGUAGAACCACCCAGUCAGGCUGGCGAGGGACCUGUUGGGGCUGCACCACGAGGCCUGUGUUUUAGACAGUCACGUCGCCAGCAUCGUCUCGCUCUGGAACAACCUGCCGGAGAGAGACACGUAGCUACCUACCGAGGCACAGGGACUGGCUCCUGCAGGGCAGGUUCAAGGCCAGCCACCUCAAGAUAAGUGUGCACAGGGCAGGAAAGUCUGAAGC